UUCAUGAUUUGCCCCUAGACAAAUUGGAAAUAAAUAGGCGCUUUUGAUAUUUCAUUUUAUCUAGCAGUCGCUAAUUCUUGUAAUAAAAUGAAGUCCACAUUUGUGUACUAUAGUGAAUGUAUGAAUUUUUUGUUUGUAAAUAUUUUUGUAUGGAAAGUGUAUCAAAAUUUCAUCGUAUCACAAAAUAAAUGACAGUUUCGGUUUUCUGAUACCAAAAAACCUCGACUACACAAUUUUCAAAAAUAAAUAUAUUAAAUGGCGGUAAAUUUCACUAUUCUGAAAAAAAAAACUAUUUUUGAAUGUAGUGUAUGGUUGUAUAUAAUAACAAAUCGCUAAACCAGAGAAACCAAUGGUCAUGCCGUAAUCUCAGGACUGCUCCCCCCCCCAUCAUGAAUGGUAGGUCUUAUGAUUCGCACAAAAUCACUGUCGCACAGUGCUUUUAAAUAGAAGGUAAAAGUUAUGUAUCGUUUGCAAUUACACCAAUUAUUAUUUUGGUUUCAUUCAUUGGUGACUGAUUUAUUAAUUAAUGGUGAUUUAUUUUAUGUUUCUUUUCUUUCUUUUUUUUUCUGAUUCAGUGGCCUUGGCAACCAGUACUAUUCAAUAGUAAGCAUAUUAAUGUUUUUCUUUUCACAGUGAUCAGCGAUCUCAACUACUACUACUACUACCAAAUCUCAAAUUUAAGCAAUGUUGUUGGUCAUUGAUUUUGCGCUUAAACUAUACACUUUCUUUGAUAAUUUCAUUUUUCAUUCUGUUCCAUUUCCUAAUAGCUAUUGAUUCAUUUCCAUUUUUUUCAUUCUUUUCUUCUGAUCAACUCUAGGUAAAAGUUAUGUAAGCAUAAAAAUAAAACCUCUUUUCUUCA